rnacentral:lncRNA from 1 species
CUGAUUGUGCCAUGCGUCUUCCAAGUAAAAAAUGGUGUAAGAUACCUAAAUGAAAUAGUGGGAGUGCACUUUGGGUGUUUGAAAUCAAUGGAAGCCUCAGCUCAGAAAGCAUUUGUUACCCUGUUAGUUGCUUGCUCCACUUGCACAAUGGUUCACAAACCAACUGAAUGGAUACAAAGGCACUAGCUUUAGAGUUAUUUCACUGUCAGUAAUCCAAAAUAGAGGAUAGCACCAGCACAUAUAUUCGCAUCACAAAACAUUAUCAAGAUUGUUCUUCGCAAGGAUCACUCCAUCCUUCUAUUUAGAUUUUGAUUUGAUUCUUGUCUCUAUA